rnacentral:rRNA from 1 species
GUGCCAGCAGCCGCGGUAAUACGGAGGGUCCGAGCGUUAUCCGGAAUCAUUGGGUUUAAAGGGUCCGUAGGCGGGCAGCUCAGUCAGUGGUGAAAGUUUGCGGCUUAACCGUAAAAUUGCCAUUGAUACUGGUUGUCUUGAAUUGGUGUGAAGUGGUUAAAAUGAGUAGUGUAGCGGUGAAAUGCAUAGAUAUUACUCAGAAUACCGAUUGCGAAGGCAGAUCACUAACACUAUAUUGACGCUGAGGGACGAAAGCGUGGGGAGCGAACAGGAUUAGAUACCCGUGUAGUCC